UGGCAGCUUUGGUUUUGCUUUAUGGGUGGUCUUUGUUCUUCAAGACUCAUAUGAAUACCACAUAUUAGCUGAGCUGGUUCUCCCUUGAUGUCUGUGUUGUAUUGUACACAUGUUGUCACUGUUUGACACUUAAACAAUCCAGAUUCUUACCCAGCCCAUAUUUAGUGCCAUAAUAAACUUCGGAGCAUAUGUUUUUGAGAGCAACAGUAACAUUCAUCACUGCAAUGUGACAUAAAAAUAAGCACUACUGGAGAGCCGGCGUGCCUUCAGAGGGCAGAGCUGGACUGGAAGGUGAAGGGAUGUGGUCAUCAUCUGUGCUGCUCUUACUGGGCUCUUUUCUUCCUCGCCUUGUCUCAGUAAAUCAAAGCAGUUGUUGAAGUGACCUCCAAAAUUCACCCCGUACAUGUGAAAAACACACACUGUUACAAAACUUUUUUAGUGAAACAUUUCCUGUUUGGGGCUUUGGCUUGACAAACCAGAGAUGCAUAAACCAUCGCUCCUCUCUUCAUCUCUCUCAUUCUCUCUUUCAGCAGGGAGUUCCUCUGGGGCCCAGUCCGAAGCACCGGUCUGGCAGCUGCGCCGCACCAAUGCCUCCCGCUCCCAGUAUGCAGAAAGAAGAUGGGAACAGUCAGCUGUACAUGAUAGUGAAUUACAACCAACAGUGCUUUUCUCUUGUCUGUUAUCAGAAAUGAGAGGGAAAACUAGAAACAGUCUGAUGGUCUUCAGGAGAUGGAAAAACUUUGGCUUAGAGGAGUGGAUACAUGUGGAAACCAGUAAUACUUUCCUGGCUAGAGACAUGUGAUGUAUUUUUGAGGGUGCUCACUGGAUUCUUUUCCUUGUGUGUGUCCUUGAUUAAUUACACCAGGCUUUGAAUAUAAAGAAAUGAGUCCUAUUUGCUGACGAGAAAAAAGGACUCCUAAAUAUGAACUCAGGGGAAAUAUAUUGUUUGGUAUUCCUUUAAUAUCUCUUCGUAUACACUAAAGGUAACUUGGCCCUUUAUUUAGAAGUUUCUUUGCUUCUUGGCCACUGUUCCUAAGGACAGCCUGCAGACGCUGCUCUGGCUGCUCUCUCCCUGCCCUGGUGGCUCUCCAUGUUAAACCCAUCUCUGGGACUGGGUUUCUUUGCAGAGCUUUUGACUGUAAAGUUCUUUCUGACUGCAAAAUUUUCUCUUUAAAAAUGGUGUCUUUGAGUGCUAAUGAACUCUUUUCCGCAUGAAAG
rnacentral:lncRNA from 1 species